AGACCCGAAACCCGGUGAUCUAGCCAUGGGCAGGUUGAAGGUUGGGUAACACUAACUGGAGGACCGAACCGACUAAUGUUGAAAAAUUAGCGGAUGACCUGUGGCUGGGGGUGAAAGGCCAAUCAAACCGGGAGAUAGCUGGUUCUCCCCGAAAGCUAUUUAGGUAGCGCCUCGUGAAUUCAUCUCCGGGGGUAGAGCACUGUUUCGGCUAGGGGGCCAUCCCGGCUUACCAACCCGAUGCAAACUGCGAAUACCGGAGAAUGUUAUCACGGGAGACACACGGCGGGUGCUAACGUCCGUCGUGAAGAGGGAAACAACCCAGACCGCCAGCUAAGGUCCCAAAGUCAUGGUUAAGUGGGAAACGAUGUGGGAAGGCCCAGACAGCCAGGAUGUUGGCUUAGAAGCAGCCAUCAUUUAAAGAAAGCGUAAUAGCUCACUGGUCGAGUCGGCCUGCGCGGAAGAUGUAACGGGGCUAAACCAUGCACCGAAGCUGCGGCAGCGAACGUAUCACCCAAGACAACUUUGCGGAGUUGACGAUUGACGGAGCGAAGCGACGUCAAAGCGUUCAUUAAAGUCGAGUUGGCUUAGGGAUACGUUCGUUGGGUAGGGGAGCGU
rnacentral:rRNA from 1 species